AAGUGGAGAAGGGUUCCAUGUGAACAGCAGUUGAACAUGGGGUCAGUCGGUCCUAAGGGAUGGGCGAAAGCCGUUCGGAAGGGAGGGGCGAUGGCCUCCGUCGCCCCCAGUCGAUCGAAAGGGAAUCGGGUUCAGAUCCCCGAACCCGGAGUGGCGGAGACGGGCGCCGCUCGGCGCCCAGUGCGGUAACGCAAACGAACCCGGAGAAGCUGGCGGGGGCCCCGGGAAGAGUUCUCUUUUCUUUGUGAAGGGCCGGGCACCCUGGAAUGGGUUCGUCCCGAGAUAGGGGCCCACGCCCUGGAAAGCGCCGCGGUUCCGGCGGCGUCCGGUGAGCUCUCGUCGGCCCUUGAAAAUCCGGGGGAGAAGGUGUAAGUCUCGCGCCGGGCCGUACCCAUAUCCGCAGCAGGUCUCCAAGGUGAACAGCCUCUGGCGUGUUAGAACAAGGCAGCGUAAGGGAAGUCGGCAAGUCAGAUCCGUAACUUCGGGAUAAGGAUUGGCUCU
rnacentral:rRNA from 1 species